UACGAAGGGGGCUAGCGUUGCUCGGAAUCACUGGGCGUAAAGCGCACGUAGGCGGACUCUUAAGUCGGUGGUGAAAUCCUGGAGCUCAACUCCAGAACUGCCUUCGAUACUGAGAGUCUUGAGUCCGGGAGAGGUGAGAGGAACUGCGAGUGUAGAGGUGAAAUUCGUAGAUAUUCGCAAGAACACCAGUGGCGAAGGCGGCUCACUGGCCCGGUACUGACGCUGAGGUGCGAAAGCGUGGGGAGCAAACAGG
rnacentral:rRNA from 1 species